rnacentral:misc_RNA from 1 species
UUCCAAACUAUUCCAAAGUAAUCGAAGACAAUUUAAAAAUGUCAUCUUUUAAUCUUUUGUUUUGAAAACGUCAAACAAUUUUUAAAAUGUACAUUUAUCAGAGCCGUUACUCAACGUAAAUACUUACAAUAAAUUGCGAUGUUUUCAGUGUUAUAGCAGGCAGAAACUUUACUUUGUUACUUUAAUGAAUUAUGGAAAGAGAUGGGAAUAACAAAACAAGUGAUGUGGGGACUUCUGACGAUGCUGACUCCCGUGGCGCAGUAAACGCUCUAAUUCUCGAUUAUUACAAAAAGUUCGGCAGAAAAAGGGAUCUGGAGCAGUAUUUCUCACUAUCGACUGCUCAAAGUGAUAUUAAAGACACUAGUGGCGUGUUUUGGCGUAAAAUGAAAAGUGAAAACGACUCAUCUGAUUCUGGUGGCAGGAAGAGUGAUUCUUCGCAUGAAGUUUGUCGAAUUUCCAUAAGAUGUGCGGUGCCUGAACAAUUAAGUUCACAGGAAGAUGAGCCACAACCAAAAAGUGACUCUCCCCAAACUCAGUCUCCACCGAUAAUCAUCGAGGAAAUGCCCGCCAAUGUGUCCCGUCACACUGACGAUGACUCCUUCAACUAUGACGAUAAUAACUCUCAUAAAUCAUUAGAUGUGUUGUUAGACUUAUCAGCACACAAACCACAUUCCCCUACCAGUAGUAUCACUUCUCAAAGGAAACUAGAAUGGGACUCCCUGGCAGAUGUCGGGUAUGCUAACGAAAGUGACCGUAAAACAUCAGCUUCAAGUCUCAGCACUUUAGAGAGACUUGCUUUAAAACAACAAUACACAAACAAUGACACUAAACAAGAUAUAGGACCUCCAACUGCACAUUCCACGCCUCUAGAUGAAAAUGACAACAAAUCUAAGGGAAAGAAAGGUAUAGGAAAGAAAACAACAAAGAUAUACAAGAAAGAUGUUGAUUUUGUUGAAGUUAAUGUACCACACACUUCAGAUACAGGUCAUGCUCCGUCUAUCAAUGUUAAUCUUACUAAACAUAUAUCUUUUAAUGUGGAAAGGGAUGGUGGGGUUACAGUUGAUAAUGUUAAAAACGACAUUAGCGUAUCUCCUGAAAAAGUGCCCUUAGACAAUGAUCCUGCUCCAAGUUUGGGUUCAGAUAAACAAAUGCAAACUUCAUUGACCAAAGAAAAAUCACCCAGUGUGGAUGAAAUACCUAAGGCUGUUAAUCCAUACAGUCAAAAGAUCCCUAUAAUGAUCUGUUUGAACACAUUGCGCAAGAGAUUGAGAAGGAAGAAAUCAAAGAAUUUGAGACGAAAAUUAAGAAUAAAAAAAUCGACUGUAUCAAAUAUAGAACUACCAUCUUUAGAGAAGAGUGGCGAGCAGGUGUCGGAAGCAGAGAGUUUUGAAUAUAUGCCUGGACAUAUGUAUAAUCAGAAUCAGAAUCAAAUGAAGGACAGUGGACGAAGACCUGACAAUAGCACAGCCGGUAACAAAUCCAGUUUAGAAUCCACUGGUCCGUCUACUACAGAGUCCAGCAAAGGAUCAAAGCACUCUCUUACAAAAGAUCUAGAAAAGUGUGUUGACUUAUUGAAGGUUACUUUGCAAGACCCUGAUAAUGACGGCACUACAAAGAAAAGGUUAAUCAAAGACAUAGUGCAUAGAUUAGUUAAUGCAAAGUAUAGAGAUGACGAUACUCCCACCGAAUUUUUAUCUGGAAUCAGUUUUAACAGUAAGAUAAUAGGUGUACCAGAAAAUGUCACUACAACAAGUACAUCAGAUGCUAAUGCUACUGAAAAUUAUUCCAACAAAAAGCCAAAGAAGUCUAUUUUGAGGAACGAUAAAUUUAAUCCUAAUGCAGUUGCUUCUACAUCGCAAAGUGCACCAAACUUGUUCAGUGGUAGAAGUGAGAAAGUGAGUACUAAUUUAAUGAAGACAAUGCACUCUACUGACUCGGAUGUGUCUAGUAGAGGAAAGACAUCUUCGGAAAACGCAUUCCCUAAAACCUCAUCUGAAGAAUUGUAUCUCAAAUAUCUGGAGGCUCUAAGGCGCGAAGAGGCGUACAAAAGACAUUUAAAAGAUAAAGAAUUGUUCUUGAAGCAGAAGCUGGUAAGUUCGGAAACUGCAUUCAAAGUACCUAUACGUACAGAGUCCAAAAUUAGCAGCAGACUGAAAGAUUUGAUGAAAGACUUGACUAGGAAUAAUUAUGAUGAUGGGUCAGGUGACGCUAGCAAAUUAGAGGGAGGUUCCUCUAACAUGAACUUUGAGACGUUAAAUGCAAUCAGAAAUCAAAGAAGUCACUCUGUAUUUACUCUUUCCUCAAGUCAUUCGGAAUGCCAGAAACGGCCGAAUUUGAAGAAAAAGAUGCAGACCGAAAGAGAGGUAGAUGAAGCCGGUCCAAGUAAACAUCAUUACUGUUGCUGCCCCCACCAUUAUUUAAACUCUAAGGUGGCUUACAGUGACAGCUCUGUGCAGGUGAACAUAAAAUCGUGUGAGGAUACUACGAACGAAAAGCCUUGUCAAACGAAACCCAAGCCAAUAACGGUAAUUGAGAACAGGAAAAAAGCUGAGUCUCCAAGAAGCGCCCGAGUAGUUCCAGACAGCGUGACGGGUGAAAUUAAGUACGUGUGUCUUUGUAAUGGGAGGCAAGUCUCUUGUUCAGAUGUUGGUGAUAGUUUUAUGAUUUACAAGUGCUCUAAGUUGACCAACCGUGGAGUGCAGCUCGAGGACCCAUCAAGGCUGUACAAUACAGGUGUCCAAUGUGGAAGUGUGAAGCAAAAAAAGAUUGACGAUAAAAUUGAGCUGAUACAAUCACCCUGCCAAAUAAACACAGAAAGCAGUAGUUCUGAUAACACUUCGAAAGCUAGGAGACAUUCAAAGUCAUCUCAAACUAAUAUGGUUGUCAACAUGUGUAUGGGUUAUGGCAGAUACUGUAAUUCCUCUUCUAGCUCUGAUGCUAAGAACCUCUGUGGAACUUCAACUAAAUGUAUUGUGUCGGUAAAUAGUCCGAAAGAAUAUGCGACCGUCCACGAGGCUACCAGAUGCCUACAAACUGAGAUCAGUAUUAACCCUCAAAUUUCUGAUCCCACGUUAUCUGAUAUCAAUAUAAUAAAUGACUGCGAUUGCGCGCAAUUGAUAUCAGAGAUACGUAAAAAGAUCCACAAGUCGGAUUCCGCAAAAACUUUUACCGACGUGUGCACCAAUAGCGUCUCAGAAAAGCUUCUUAUUACAUCUGAAGGGAGUGGGUCUGCACAAGAAGUGAAGACUUUUAACUCAAUAGACGAUAAAGAGUCGCACUUACUAUGUACUGUAGCUGGAAGAAAAUAUCAUCUACCUAUUCUAGACACGAAUAUGACUCUCACUCUCAACUUGGAGGAAGCUAAUCGUUUUAAAGAUCCUGAGUAUGUGAACCAAGGCAUCGGCACAGAAAAGGUAUCGAAUAUAGAUGAAGCUAUAUCGGUUAAUGAGGAAUGCAAAUCUACACAAUGUACGUGCGAGUACUGCCCCAAUCAAAGUAAUAAGAGGGUCGUCUGUGUGAAAGAUGCAUCUGUUUCUAUUAAAAGUUGUAUGUUAGCAAAGAAGAACAAUAAUUUCAAUACAUUUCCGAAAAAGGAAGCAGUACCUAAAGAAAAAACACCAUUUAAAAGAUCGAACACAGAUGAAGGUAAACUAUCAAUAUGUUCAUGCAUUCAAACUGUAACGGUACCGAUGAGGGACGCCCAAACGUAUAAUAAUCAACCUGAUGAUAGCAAUUAUGCGUUAGAGACUCAAGUCUCUACUGCCGAAAAUGGUUGCCAAGCAGACCCGAUCAAGGAAAAUGUUUCAACUGAAGUCAGUGAACAAUCGGAUAAGGCAACGCCUACCAGCAGCCAACAUCAACAUGAAAAUGUUGUCGUGUUCAACAUCAAAACUGACAAAAUAGAUGAUGCAAUCAAACCUGACUCAAAAAACUUUGGAAACCGAAAAGAUUUAACAUUUGAACGUAAAGACUUAAGAGGAAGUUUUGAUGCAAUCAAACCUGACUCAAAAAACAUUGGAAACCGAAAAGAUUUAACACUUGAACGUGCAGAAGUUAGAGGAAAUUUUAAUGCAAUCAAAACUGACUCAAAAAACAUUGGAAGCCGAAAAGAUUCAACACUUGAACGUGCAGAAGUUAGAGCUAAAGACGCUAGAAGAAAUUUUGAUGCAAUACAAACUGACUCUAAAAACAUUGGAAGCCGAAAAGAUACAACACUCGAACGUGCAGAAGUUAGAGCUAAAGACGCUAGAAUAAAUUUUGAUGCGAUACAAACUGACUCUAAUAACAUUGGAAGCCGAAAAGAUUUAACAUUUGAACGUGCAGAUGAUAGAGCUAAAGAAGUUAGAGGAAAUUUUGAUGCAAUCCAAACUGACUCUAAAAACAUUGGAAGCCAAAAAGAUUUAAAACUUGAACGUGCAGAUGAUAGAGCUAAAGACGUUAGAGGAAAUUUAAAGGAUAUUGAUAUUAAAACGUCUAACGUUAGUACGAAGAGUAUCGGUGUAGUGACUAUGGAUGAGAAAAAAGUCGAUGGUAGUAGCAUAGCAUGUCAAACAGAUGCCCCAACAAUAAAUGAUUCCCCAGAAAAGCAGUUUGGAAAUUCUGAAAUUAAAAUAGACUCACGAGAAAAUAGUAAUAAUAAUAUAGUACGACAAGAACCAUGCUGCUACCAAGUUAAUUGUCCAAAAAAUAAUUUCAAAGGUCCAGUCAUUGAAAUGAUACAAGAUAUCACUCGACGCUACUCAAAAACCGAUUUAGGCAAGGUUAAAAAGAAGAAAUGUGUCUCAGAAAUAAUGACUGUUCUGAAUUACCUUCUUGAGACAGAAGACAGUACAGAUCCAGAACCAAAGACGUGUUGCAGCACAACUACGACUACUAAAUCGAGUUCGGAAAAGUCCAAAACGACCAAAAUGUCUGUGGGCGAAUGCGUUUCAGACAGAUUUGUCGAUAAAAGUGUCCAACUUUCUUGUAAGAAAGCUUGUAAGGACAAUAACGUUGGCACCGAGUCGUCCGACUUGCCUUGCUCCUCGGAUCAGCCUACGACAUCCUCGGAUUCUGCCGCUUGUAGAGUGCUCAAUAAAAUUAAGAAGGAAUGUGAGAAAUACCACCAGAAGGUUAAAUGCAAGGGCAGAAAAUGCGAAGUUUCUAGCAGCACAUCAGUCAACUGCGAAAAAUGCAAGAAAGUGCAUCAUUGUGCUUGCAGAUACCACAAGUGUAAGCGAUCUAAGACAUUUGAGAAGUUGCAGAAAAAAUGCAUUGCUUACAACCUGAUUAUUCAGACAUCAGAGAGUAUGUUGAGCGAGGAGACAGUUUGCGAGAACAAGAGUCGUGCUCUUAAAAAUAUCAUUGUGAAAGUCCCGAAACGUAAAGGAAAGAACGAGGUUCCUUAUAAAACGGAGUUUAUAUCGCCUCCCUGUAGCCCAAAACGUAGUCCUCGUGGUUGCAAUAAGUCAAAAAGUGGUCCCAUUGAGAGUGAGACUUCUGAAGAGUAUGCUAGAAGAGUUGAGCUGGCCACGGUUCGGGAGUACUUGGAGCAGAAUCGUCCAGAUUUCGUGCAGAACACAGAGGAGAGACGGCAUUGCUUGAAGUUUAUUAGUGCGAAGAGAACUCAAGAUCAAUUCGCCCCAAGUUUGAAAAUGGUUGUUGUACACAAACCUAGGUGCAUGGGAAAUGUGGCGACCAGCCCAGUUUAUUGUGGAGAGCCGACGAGCGUGCUUCCAAACGGAACUUGCUAUCAUUGCACGUGGAACAACAGCCCGACUUAACCAGUCUCAACUCCGAUGAACUGCGACAACUGGCACAAAAGAUUGGACUCGACUUGCGAAAGAAAAAACCUGCCCCAAAAUUUUUAAGUGAACGCGAAAUGAAGAAGCACUCUGAAAGGAUAUACAAAACGUUGCCAGAAGUAGU